rnacentral:rRNA from 1 species
AAACGGUAGCUAAUACCGCAUAACGUCGCAAGACCAAAGAGGGGGACCUUCGGGCCUCUUGCCAUCAGAUGUGCCCAGAUGGGAUUAGCUAGUAGGUGGGGUAACGGCUCACCUAGGCGACGAUCCCUAGCUGGUCUGAGAGGAUGACCAGCCACACUGGAACUGAGACACGGUCCAGACUCCUACGGGAGGCAGCAGUGGGGAAUAUUGCACAAUGGGCGCAAGCCUGAUGCAGCCAUGCCGCGUGUAUGAAGAAGGCCUUCGGGUUGUAAAGUACUUUCAGCGAGGAGGAAGGUGUUGAGGUUAAUAACCUCAGCAAUUGACGUUACUCGCAGAAGAAGCACCGGCUAACUCCGUGCCAGCAGCCGCGGUAAUACGGAGGGUGCAAGCGUUAAUCGGAAUUACUGGGCGUAAAGCGCACGCAGGCGGUCUGUCAAGUCGGAUGUGAAAUCCCCGGGCUCAACCUGGGAACUGCAUUCGAAACUGGCAGGCUAGAGUCUUGUAGAGGGGGGUAGAAUUCCAGGUGUAGCGGUGAAAUGCGUAGAGAUCUGGAGGAAU